ACCUGGCUGGCUCAGUUGGUAGAGCAUGUGAUUCUCGAUCUCAGGGUGGUGAAUUCGAGUCCCACGUAGGGUG
rnacentral:tRNA from 1 species